rnacentral:rRNA from 1 species
UCUAUACCCCAUUAUUUGCCCGACCCCUGUCUGCUCAGUUUUAGGUUGGGGUGACCACGGAGUAUAAAAUAACCUCCAUGAAGAAGGGGAUAUUUCCCUUAUUAGAGAACCACACUUCCAAGAACUAAUAAAUUAAUUUUCAAUGACCCGAUACCCGAUAAUCGAUCAACGAACCAAGUUACCCUGGGGAUAACAGCGCAAUCCACCCUGAAAGCCCUUAUUAACAGGUGGGUUUACGACCUCGAUGUUGGAUCAGGGUAUCCCAGUGGUGCAGCAGCUACUGAGGGUUCGUUUGUUCAACGAUUAAAACCCU